rnacentral:piRNA from 1 species
CAGAUGUGCUAGGAUCAGUUGC